rnacentral:sRNA from 1 species
GCCAGGUGUGGUGGUGCACAUCUGUAAUCCCAGAAGCUUGGGAGGCUGAGGCAGGAGGAUCUCGAGUUCAAAGGAUCUUGAGUUCAAAUAUUUUGUAUUUUAUUUAGACCUUGACUCUA